ACUGCGUGCACUCAGUCUUCAGGAGGAGGCAUCCCCUGUGGUUGCAGAACUUCCGCUAUCCUUGGUUGCCCAGGAUAAACUGGUGGAAUCAUGACUCAUUUUUGUCAUUGGGACCACAGGAGGAGGGGUCAGAAGAUAGUGAAAUGUUCAGUGAGCACUCACAUUUCGUUAGAUGCACUGUCUCUGAACCCGAGAACUUACUCAGAACUUCAGGAUGGGAGCGUGCAGUCACCAAGUGUUAAGUCGAAGAUUCCGGACUGUUUAGUGAUACCACAGGAUGUGAAUACCAAGGAUCCAAACAUUCUGAUAAACUCAGAGAAAGUCUUGGAUAUGGGAGUCCAGAGCCUGAGGUUUCAGGGGGAGUCGCUGCCAGCGCUCAAGGGACUUACCAUCCCCGGCUGAUGUGACCAGGUCUCCCGCUCAGGAUCGGAUGAUAUGGUGAGCCCGACUUGACCCUUGGGAGUCAGUGGUAGCUCUCUUUGUUUUAAGGUUGCUUUCA
rnacentral:lncRNA from 1 species